rnacentral:rRNA from 1 species
UACGAAGGGGGCUAGCGUUGCUCGGAAUGACUGGGCGUAAAGGGCGCGUAGGCGAAUGGCACAGUCAGAUGUGAAAUUCCCGGGCUUAACCUGGGGGCUGCAUUUGAUACGUGUGAUCUAGAGUGAGGAAGAGGGUCGUGGAAUUCCCAGUGUAGAGGUGAAAUUCGUAGAUAUUGGGAAGAACACCGGUGGCGAAGGCGGCGACCUGGUCCUUGACUGACGCUGAGGCGCGAAAGCGUGGGGAGCAAACAGG